rnacentral:ncRNA from 1 species
GCGCAGGAACGAUCUUGCGCCUUUCCGAAAAACCGGCCGGGACGACCCGC